UCUGUGGGCGAAGUUUCUCUUGAAGGCCUUCUCAGCUUUUUUCUUACACAGUGUAGAUAGCAGUUUCAGAAGGGAGAUAACAAAGGUGCAGAGGAACACAGCAGCUGUGUACGUGCAAAGGGAGCUUGCACAUUCAGUGCCUGCGUGCUCUGCAGAACGGCAAAGGGCUGAAUGCAACUUGAGAAGGACGAGCCAAACACUGAAACUGAGAAAGGUGUGUUAGAGACAGAGAAGCAAACACCCAAAGCCUUGAAGAAAUUUAGACUUUACAACGAUUUCAAAUUGGAGGUGAGCUUUUAUACUUCAGUGACCUAUUCCUUGUCCUAUAAAAAUCCUCUUACAGAGCAGCAAAAUAAAUAGAAAUCCCCUGAAUCUAUGUGUAGUGAUUUGCUAUUGGUUGAUCUUUUCUCUCCAGCAUAUCUUUGGAUUUUUACAAACAAAAAGAAAGACACCAUCAUCCAAACUGAUGGAAGGAAAAACCACUAUAUCUAACAGACUUGAAGUGUUUAAUCAUUAACAUACUUUGAAGUGCACUGUAUCUCCUCAUGCAUUAAUGCUGCUUGGAUGCCCACUUUCAUGAGACAGACCUCACUGCACAAGAGGACAGCAUUUUAAGUGGCUUCUUUCUGUGAUGCAAGAUCUACUCUGCAACCCUUGCAUGAGAUCUUAGGUAGCAGUGACAUUGAUGAUUUAACAGGGUUUGCCCACUUUCUUUCUGACCAGACUUUGUUCUGACUUACAACUAUCUCAGUCUGCUAAUAUGUGCAUGUCCUUCCAAAAAGCUGCUGCUUCGCCAGCCACAUUCCAGUAUUUUCAUGAGCUGUGAGGGUUAAAAUACUGUUUAGACUUAAGUUUUAUACACUGUUUCCAGCCCUAUUACUUAUACAAUGAGUGUGCAUGGCUUUGUACAAACAUGCAGUAAUACGAAACUGAACUGAAAGCUGUUGGUGGCAAAAAGAGGUGUAUCAGUUUGCUAGCAGGUCUACUGCUAGCAUCUGUCCCUUUUGUCUAUUUGCAUUUUCCAGCAGCUUUCCCCAGCCAAAUUCUAUAUCGCCUUUUAUUCAAACUAUUGACAAGGGUUUGUGUGGUCUGUUUCCUGAAAGCCGAAAGCUACCUGGUAUAAAAAUGACUCCUCUCCGUUAAAGAUGACGCAAAUGCUAAGCUCUACAAAAAGCAUUAGGAAACUUUUCCUGACAAAGGGCUGAAUAAGACACUCAGAUACUAUUUUGGGGGAAGGAGAGAUACAAUUCUGAUUACACAUUGUCACUGGGUUCAUUGUGAAAGUCCCUCUCUAUCCAGAUGUCUCUGUAAUUCCUCUUACUACCCUUUGUGUCACGCAGUGACGCUACAUCCUUCCUCA
rnacentral:lncRNA from 1 species